CACACUAUCCCCGACCCUUCUCUGCAUCCGAGCCACAUGACCUGCCAAGUUGACACCUGUGUUUUGAUUUCCUUAUGUCUUGCAGAACCUGGAUGCUCCUAAGGACCCCCCAGGAAAGCACCGGCUUCUUCUUGACAACUUCCCUGGGUGACUCUUAGAACUCAAUGGCCACGUCCAGCUCAGAGAUCAGAAGCAGCGCGCGUCCCAGAGCGCUACCAUAAUGAUGCCGUCCAGGUCCACAGUACAACCGGCUGCCUUGGUCAUUGCCGUAAUGACAGUACAUUCCAACUUCUCAAGGUGGUCAGGAAGUGGAACCAAGCAGGAAGUUCUGCAUGCCUAUGGCUUCCCUGUGGUAAGUAGGGCCCCAAUGUCCUUCCUCUGGAAAGUAGGGAGACUUGAGAGUAAGGAAGGCUAGGGUCAGAGGCACAUCCCUGCCAGUGCUCCAGGACCUGCCCUCAGCUUAGAUGUCUUUACCUAGAGGCUUUGUGCUCCCCCCAACCCCUGCCCUCAGUAUUGUGCCCCACCCCACCCCCCAGCAAUCUACCCCAGAUGACACAUCUACCCAUGAUAUGAUAUGGUGACUUUUGACCCCGUAUCGGCCUACUUAGACUGGGCAUGGCUUAACAGAGGUGCAGUUCCAUUCAUCACCAGCUCCAAGUGGAAGAGACGUAGCCUCCCAACCUGAGGACAAGGUCACCGAGCCCUGAGAGACCUCUGGGGACCUCAGCAUGAGGUCCCUCUCUUUUCUCUGUACCCCGGGCACCAUCACUUAAUCCCCCCAGUGUGAUCCUGCUUCCCCCAGGCCAGGCCACUUGGUAUCAAUGGAGGAUCUGCCAGAAGGUCUUGCCUAGAGAAAGGCCAGAUGAGGGAGACAGAGGCACAUCUGUUCCCGUGUUGGGCUAAGGCACAGUGCGUGGUGGCCCACUGUCCUUGCUAGAACUAGGGUGCUUGUGUCCUGGUGUUUCUCUACCAUAGCUUGGGCUCUGCAAGGCUUCUGUUGCAAUGAAGCCCAGAUUCAGGGAGGCUCACCAAGUGCAGAAAAGGCGCUUUGGGGCUGACACAGUGGCAUACACCGGCCUCCUGCUGCUAAGUAGAGUGGCUGAGAAUCCCCAGGGGCCAGCCAAAAGGACCCCACGGAAAUGCAUGAUGGUGCCCAGAGUCAGAGGGGCCAGUCUCGACCUUCCAGCCAGACCUGCCCACGUACUUGUAUCCUGACAGCCAAGGGCAGAACCCGAAGUGUUGAGAGACCUGGGGUUGAUGUCUGACCUCUUUCCUCCUUCAAAGUGCUUCUGGGGGCGGAGAGGGGGAGGGAGGUGCUGGGCUCAGAUGGAGAUGACCAAUGUGGUCUCUAGCUAUUCCACCACAUCCGGGCACAGCCUAAGAACCGACGAGAUUAACCAUGGCCAGUCAAGCCUACAGAGAGGCUAAGCAGUGUGGGACACCCCUCAGCCUUCUCACCUGGGCCACCCAUCAUAGAUAGGAUCACCAAAGGGGCCCUUCACCACUCUCUUCCCACGCCUCUUCUGCCUUGCUGCCUCUGCAGGGACCAUCCUUGAGGGUAUUUGACCUGCCUGUUAGUGAAAGGGUCCAGGCUUGAGGCAGGGGAUGGCACCCCAGUGGCUCAGAUUUCCUUCUGGGGCUUGGAAGAUUAGUGUUUCCUAUCAUCACAGGCCUGCCCACCACGGGCCAGGCCACACCAGCGCUCUGGGAACCUUGUUCCUAAGCUCCUCUGCCCCAUAGACUCCGGAUCUGGGGCCACAAUGUGGACUUAGAC
rnacentral:lncRNA from 1 species